ACGUUCUCCAAGCCGGCAUCCCUCAACGCGUGCUCCUGAGCCCCUGAGCAAGGCUGAGGAACCCACCUGACCCGCCCGCCGAAACCGAAGCCCAAGGCUGAACCUGACCUGCCCAAGGUCUCCCAAAGUACCUACAGUCCUGGCCACGCGACUCUGAUAGUCCCUUUGGACAUUCUCUUUCUAGCCCUUCAAUCCAUACCAUCAAGCCCAGAGCCCAGGUAACUUUGCUGAAGCUCUACUUGUCACAGAGGCUUGGGGCAGAAACCUGGGCCCCUUCUUCACCACCACCAUCUUUUCCUGAGAGUAAGAACUUCUCCCUUGUGGGCAGGUAAAUGGUAGGACUGUCCUUCUGGCCACCGGUACCCUUUCUGGGUCUAGCUCAGGCUUUCAGCUAAGGACAAAUGAGCGUAAUUUCUCUGUGUUGCUCUGCACCUCUCAACAUGUACGCGAGGCUGCUGCUGGGUACUCCCCAGAGAACUUCUGGGUCCCCUGAUCUUUCCGGAAGUAGAGAAGAGCGUGUGGACCAGAAACUUAGGAGGGACCUUUGAGGGGCUCCUUCAAGAGGAAAUCCCUAAGAGCCCUUGAAGUCACUUGAAGCUGCUAGUUCCCGUAAUAUUGGUUGGGCAAUUACGGAUCAGAAGAGGUUUCAAGACUGAUGCGUCUGAUCUCAGGAGGCCAUGGGCCGCUCCACAAGAAAGCCUCCCGAGCUGGCAGAUGGGUGGACAUGAUCUCUUCAGAGGAUAAAACCUUGUUCAUCGCUGUAUUGGUCCAAAGAAGGCUUAGCGACUACACUCACAAGGCCACUUUGAUUCCUUUAAGUGUCCUGUUGUGCCCUCCAGGCCUUUCAGCCCUCCCACCCACAGCACGUGAGGCCACCACAAAUUAAGUUUUACAUUUCAAAACACGUGGAUUCCAGACAGUGAGGGCAACAUCGUGAAACCCUGCCACAAAACUACCACAGAACAACCAACCAAACAAAAACCUGGAUUGGGGAUGUAGCUCCGUUCCUAAAGAGCUCACAGCACAAGCAAAGAAUCCGAGUUCAGAUCUCGAACAAUCAUGGAAAAAGCUGAGCGUGCUCCUUCAUUGGCAGCGCCGAGAGGCAUGGAAAGGAGCCGAGCAGCCUAGCCCAGCUGGCGCUUCGAAGCCUCCUGCCCAGUAAGCGUCCCCUGCUCAUCCUGUGGACUCUUUUCCCUCACAGUGACUUCCAAAGAGGAUCACAGGGAUCACCCUUCCCUGUCCCCUGCAGCACCAGGAACCCGAGGCAGCAAACUUCACUGAAGGGACAGGGUUUGCUGCAGAGAAAAGCAGCUAUUAAGAAGACAUCUCAAACUGUACAUGUCAGCCGGGCCUAGUGAGGCACACCUGUAAUCUCAGCACUUGAAAGGCAGAGGCAGGCAGAGCUCUGUGAGUUUGAGGUUAGCCUGGUCUACAGAGUGAGUUCCAGGACAGCCAUCUCUGCAGAGAGGCCCUGUCUUGAAACAAACAAAACAAAACAAACAAACAAACAAACAAAUGCGCAGGUCAUUUCUCACUAGGGAAGUUGUAGCAGCAUCACCUGGUGAGUUUCUUCACAGCUGUCUUUUUUGGGAUAUAUUUGAUUACUAACUUGAUCCCCCUGCUCCAGAUCAUUUUUAUGCUCUCACCCCCACCCCCAACACACACUUCAAAAGUGGCUCUUUUGUAUGACGGUAUAGUCUAAAUCCAUACUUCAGAAGAGAUACUUUAUGAAAGGCCUUCUAGUCUGGUACCUGCCUAUGGGGAUGCUAAAGCUCUGAUUAUCUUCACAGCAUCCUCCUGUUCCAGCUUUGUGCCACUGCAUGCCAUGCAGCAAUAGCAAAAGACCUGGCAGAGUGUGUGAACCCAUGAUGGUUGCUUUCAAACCCGUAGUGUUCCCGUCAGAGCUUUGAGAAGAUCGUGUGCACCACAGACCAGGUGAAAAUCAUGGUUAGGACUGGGAUCCUUCCCAGCCCUGAGCACAGUGAUUUACAAGUGUGGACCUUUGGUUUUCCAAGCACAUCUUUCUUCCUUUGGACUCUGUUCCAGCCCCCACUGGGUUCCGUAGUCCUGGCAGCCUGUUUAAAAGCCUCAAGCCUGUGAACCUUUCUGCUCUUGUUUUGCUUUUCUUCUUCUUUCUUCCUUUGUUCCUUUUAGUACCAGUGAUUGAACCUAGGGCUUCACGCGUGCUAGGGCAGAAACUCUACCCCUGAGUUAUAUCCCAGAGCCCCCUUUCUUUAAAUUACAUCCAUUUAUCUGUUGCCUGGAGGAUGCAGAUUACAUGCAAGUAGAGGUCAGAGGACAACGUGUGGGGGUUGGCUCUCUUCUCUCAUGGGGGUUUCAGAAAGUGAACUCAGGUUGACAGGCUUGGUAGCAAGCACCUUUACCCACGGAGCCAUUUUUAAAGUUCAUGGGUGUGUGUGUGUGCGCACACAUUCAUUUGGAGGGGCAUGUGUGUCUUCCAUCUUGUCUGCAGAAUAUCUUUUGUUGUUCACAGCUGCAUAAGCAGGUGUUGUCUUCCUUCUCAGAGACUUGGCCCUGGCCUACCCUCUAGUCACAAGUUGGGGGUAAAGCUUUCACUCAUCACAAGAGGCUAUUCCCAAAGCAUUCUAUUCUCAUGCCUGAUCACUUCUCCCCUGUGACAUACUACUGUGUGUGUGUGUGUGUGUGUGUGUGUGUGUGUGUGAUUCUCCACCUCUGCUUCCUAUCUUCUACCGCAGCAUUGGGCUAUUGUGACUAACUUGACAUGGAUGCCCGUCAUUUGAACUCGGUGCCUCACCCUUGCACAGCAAGCUAUUUAUGCACUGAAACAUCUUCCCAUCCCCCCGCCUCUUUUUAACUUUUUUUUUUUUUUUUUUUGAGACCAUCUUAAUAAGUUGCCCAGGCUGUCUUUGAACUUGCUCUUGUAGCCCAGGCAGACCUUGAACUUUCAGUCCUCCUGUUUGUACCUUUACAGCGGCUGGGACUACAGGCUCGGAUUUUGUUCUUGUUGUCUCUCGUUGGUCGUUCUAUCUUCCCAGCUAGCAUAGGGGCUCUCCCGUGCAGUGGCUAGUCCCGGGCGCCUUCACUUCAGAAGACAUUUGCUGAGCCAUGAGUCCUUAAGUUCAGAGUCUGAGGGAGGUUAAGUUUGUAAAUAAAUCACUAAAGCAAGAGUAAUAAAACUUAUGACAGAGGGGAACACGGGCAAAGUCGCUAUAUUGCACAGCUCUGGCGGGGGGGGGGGGGAACAUCCAUCUGACUGCCACCCCCCAACAGCUGUGCCGUGAGAUAGCCCUCGGCACAUGGAAACCCAAAGCAGCCAUCUGACUCAGCCGGGGAAGUUCAACCGAUUGCCUUGAGGAGACCGAGCAUUGAGGCUUCGAAGGCAAGCUCUCCAGGCAGCCGAGGAGGGAAGCGCUGUCCAAGCAGAGCAGACUACACCCACAAGGCCGCCAGAGAGGACUGAGGGGGUGUUUACAGUAUCGGGAAGUAUGCGGAAUACAUUUUGGCCGAUGCACUGAACACACACUGGGGGUGGAGGGGUGCCUAGAGCCCGCUUGCUAAAUGAGUUUCAGGAAUACAAGAACUAUAAUAAUAGACGUCAUCAUUACUAACAUUUAUUAACCACUCUCUGUGUGCCGGGCACUGAGCUAAAGGGGUUUACAUGUAUUUUCUCAUUCCGAUUCUCAGCAACCCCAUGGGGUACAGUCUUUAUUAUCUUAUCUCUACAGAUAGAGCAACGGAGAUGCGGAGAGGUUAAACAACUUGUCUAAGGUCACAGAGCUACAGGACGACUACAGAGUCAAGCUGCAAACUCGGGCCUUCUGACUCCUCCCUCAACACUAAUGCCCUUGACUUUGGACUGUAGUAGUCUUUGCGCAGACCAGAGAUACAGCUGCUAUCUCAUUAGGUCUCCUUGAGGUUCCCCAGCAGCAAUGCUCCUGCUCCCCGGGAGAAUUGGCGUUAUCAGGCUCAGCUCCAUCGAGAGCUUCAGCAGAGAGGGGUAGUGGGAGCCUGAGCAUCUGAGAAUUGCCCCUGGGAUUCUUGGGAGUUCUUCAGGAGGAAUUUGAGAGAGGUCAGAGUCCUGCAGAGGAAACAAACAAACAAACAAACAAAAAAAAAACAAAACAAAGAAAAACCAACUAUUUAUCAAGUUUAUUUUGAGUCCUAGGUAUGGUGAGACCUCAUUAUGCUUGGAGAAAAAGAAGAAAAAAAAAUCUAGUUAGCUCGCUCAUGUACAUUCCUUCCCAUACCACCUGAUUUCCAAGUCAUUCAGGAUUCGUCAGCCCUCUAUCCCUGUCUUCAAAUUUCUUUCUUUCUUUCUUUCUUUCUUUCUUUCUUUCUUUCUUUCUUUCUUUCCUUCCUUCCUUCCUUCCUUCCUUCCUUUUUUUUUGUUGUUGUUGUUUUGUUUUGUUUUUUGUCUUUCAAGACAGGGUUUUCUAUGUAGCCUUGGCUGUCCUAGAACUUGCUCUGUAGACCAGGCAGUCUCCUGAGUGCUGGCAUUAACAGCAUGUGCCUCCACCGCUCAGCUGUCUUCAAGACUUUUGUCCUUAUUCUUUUACCCAAGAUGCUGACACAUCUGUCAGUGCCAUCUUCUGCCAUCUUGGGCCAGUUCCAAAGGAUUCCUUCCUCAGCUCCAGUCCACGAUGAACUGCCAGAAGAUAUGACAGGGAUCGCACAUACUCAGAGCCUUUUGUCUGGUUCUUUUCCACUCACUGGCUUCCCCCACCCAGCCUUAUUUAGGAACUUUUCUGCCUCAAGGUAUCCUUAAAUGAGAGCAUUCAGGGGGCCUCUUCUCUUAAUUCUCUUGUCCAUGUCACUCUUUUCUACUGCUUCAAUGACCGUCCUGACUAUGCGACCAAUAACCAGAUGCAUAGCUUGUUUAUAACAGGAUGCUUGAAUGUAUAUUUUAUACUUCUAUUCAUAUGAUUAGGGUGUUUUUAUUUGUUAGGACAUGUGUCUGGAGGAUAACAUGGACCCUGACCUUAUGAGCUCAUGAUCUAAGAAGCAGAUAUAGCAGAAAAUUAGAACACAGAGUAUCUGCAGAGAAAGCAGGACAUAAGAAAAAAGCAAUUAAUCUAAGGAACUUGUGUCAGAUUUGGCUGUAGGUGACAAAACAGCUCAAAUCUGGGCUAGUAAGCUGGCUCAGUGGGUAAAGGUGCUUGCCAGCAAGGCUGACUGAUAACAUGAGUUUGAUUCCCAGAAAUCACAUGGAAGAAGGAGAGAACCAGCUUCCAAAAGCACGCUCACACACACAAACACACACACACACACACAUUUCAACCAGCUAAAAGCCUUGAAAUAAUUAGUCCAGAGCUAGCGUGAUAGAUCCAGGGUCCUAAAAGCCCUUAUGCUUUUCAUUAUUCUGCUCCUCCAACCCCUGCUCUUCAACAAUGUUUCUACCUCAAAGACCCGAAAUAGUCAGUCAGAUUCUAGCCAAUGUAAAGGAAGAUGGAGUGGAAAAGAGCAUACUCACCUUUUAACACCAGUUCGCCAAAGUGGCACAAACUACUUCUGCCUAAGCCAUGGGCCAGGACUUAGUCACACAGCCACACCCAACUGCCAGGAAUUCUGGAAAGUAAAGAUAUUUAUUCCCUACCAGCCUUGGAGACAGCUAAAAUAUAAGCCUCGGUGACAAGCACACGGAUGUUAAGAUGCAGGAAGUAGCUGCAGUUUCAAAAAGGUUCCUGAUGAGUUGACACUUACCCUGAAAUUGAGAAACUGAGAUAUGAGUCUAAGUUAACCAGGCAGAAAAGUGUUUGGGCUACAGGGGGCAGUUGGGUAUAUUGUUUUCUUUAAGACAGCCUUGUGUAUCCCAGGCUUGCCUUGAAUUAGAGCUAUAGCUAAGGAUGACCUCGAACUGAUGACCCUCUUGCUUCUAUCUGCUGAGUGCUGAGCUUACAGAUAAGUACCUCGCUGCCCUCUUUAUGCUCUGCUGGGGACUGAACCCAGGGCUGUGUGCAUGCUAGAUAAGCACUCUGUCAACGGAGUCAGGACCCCAGCCCCAGAGAGCAUGUUGGAAAACACAGGUACUUUGAGUUUCUCCAGCAUGGCGUGGGUACCGCGUGUGUCAGCAGACACAGGUAGGAUCUCACUGUGUGAGAUGGAGAGGUGGCAAGUAUGUACACACUAGGGUGUUGUGAAAUUGCCUGCUCUAUCACUCUCUGCCUGAUUGCCUGAUUCUUUUUAGAUAGAAGCUUUCUCUCCACCUGGGGCUAGGCUGGCAUCCCGGAAAACCAGCGAUCUCUGUCUCUGUCCCCAACAGCAAUAGGGUUACGGGAGCACAUUCAGCUACACCAGCUUUUUUUUUUUUUUUUUUAAGAAUCAUUCAUUUUUUUGUGUGCAUUGGUGUUUUGCCCGUAUGUCUGUGAGAGGUGUCAGAUCCCCUGGAACUGGAGUUACAGACGGUUGUGAGCUGCCAUGUGGGUGCAAGGAACUGAACUCCAGUCCUCUAGAAGAGCAGCCAGGGCUAUUAACCUCUGAGCCAUCUCUCCAGCUUUUUAUAUGGAUUGCUGGGAUUUAGGGGGUGUGUGUGCAGGCGGGGAACCCUCACGUUUGAGCAAGCACUCUUACCUACUGGGCUAUCUCUCCAGCUGCCAGGGUCACACAUUUUAGUCAUCUUGAAAGGGAAGGCACGGCCUCUGCUGAGGAAAGAGGCUCACUGAGGGGUGGAGUAAAAGGCAACACCUCAGCUAAAAUUAGAUUCCUGCAGAAAGCAGCCCUUGCACAUUUUGGCCUUAGAAGUCCUUAAACUUCCCUGGCACGGGCUUGAGUUACAAGAGAUGUCGAUUUGCAAUUAGAUCAGGUGCCCUGGGCAAGGAAGCUCUGGCAAGCCUGAAGCUGGGCACAAGCACCGCUCACACACCACUGGUCGUUGGCAGAGUGGCCAUUGGCCCUAGCGCCUCAGCUUCUGGUCAAUGUCUGGGCAACUUGUGGGGUGCCGAAGCCACACAAGCUGCCAACUGGGGCCUCCUCCCCAGACAUAUUACAUGCCUUCCAAAGGUUGUGUUUAUUUCUAUGAUGUGGCUACCAGACAUGGGGUCAGGGCAGCCAGCUGGGCACAGGAACUCUGACUCUGCAGGAAUGAGCUCAGUCCCCACAGCUCUGUCUCCACUGCCCUUCUUUGUUCCUAUAGCAAGUGGACAAUGACUGGCCCAGGUCACCUCAGAUGGUUCAGCUAGAAAUCCCAAAUACUCUGACACCUACCUGCUCACUGUCUGACAGAGCCCCACAACCCACUGUUCCCCUGACCCCCUUCCACAACAAAUGUACAUUUUAUAUCUAUAGACUGAAUACACGUGGACACCCGGGUCCUUAUCUGUCACCAUAUGCAUACUUAUUCUCACAAGUAUUGUCUGUCACAGGCAUGCUUCAUAUAGGCAGAGCCCUCCCACUGCACAUAUCACAUACAGAACCCCCACAACCCCUGACACAAACAUUGCAUACAUAGACACUAUGUAUGUGCUCUUCUAACAUGUCCUUACUCUCCAUACUUCAUGCUAUAUGUAGGUACUAUACAUGCACCAAUAGCUACUCAUCAUGUCCAUGCCGCCACCAAUGUUGCUUCCUGUUUUCAGAGCCAGGUUUCCAAACUUGCCCUUUGUUUGUUUGUUUGUUUGUUUGUUUGUUUGUUUGUAGGCAGGGUCUCUUUGUGUAGCAUGUAGCUCUGGCUGCCCUGGAACUCACUAUGUAGACCAGGCUGACCUCAAAUUCACAGAGAUCCUCCUGAGUGCUGGGAUUAAAGGUGUGUUGCCACCACCCCUGGCCCCAGGUUCUUAUAUCCAUAGAAACCUUUGCCUUUGGGGCUGUAAGGAGACAGAGACUCAAAGAGGUAGCUGGAGAAGAGAGGGCAGUGUCUCCAUUACCCCAACCCAAACUCAUCUACACAGCCCAUAGGAAAGAAGGAGGGUUGGCCUUUCCCCUAAUACCCUAUGAACCAUUAUGUGUCCCUGACGUCAGGGACAUGGAGUUCUGGCAGGAGAUCCGCUGUGAAGCCUGGGCGCUGCACCUACUACACAAGAUGCCCUGGAGACAACAGUCCCAGCCAACAGUCUGGAAGCCAAGUUUUACCAGGCCCACCAAUGCAAUGGGAGCAGAAGAAGCCCUUGUGCAAUACGAGUUGACCCAGGGGACAUGAGGAAAGGGCAAAAGGCCUCGUAGGCCUCAUGUCCCAGGCCCUGAACCUGGAUCUCCAUAGCCUUAUUUCCUGUCAUCCUCACAUCAAAUACCCCUUUCAUCUUAGCCUCUCAAGACAUCAAGGAUAGAACCCAGGGUCUUGCAUGUGUGGGGCCAUAGAUAUACACCCCGUGUUUCUUUGUUUUGUUUUGCUGGUUUUUCAAGAGUUUCUCUGUGAAGACUUAGAUGUCCUGGACUCGUUUUGUAGACCAGGCUGGCCUCAAACUCACAGUGAUCGACUGCCUCUGCCUCUGCCUCUCUGAAUGCUGGAAUUAUAGGUGUGUGCCACUGCACCUGGCUCCCUUCUUUCUCUGUAUUCUCCCAGACAUGGAGCCCAAGAAGGUGCUCACAGCCAGUAAAUGGUAGUUUGUUUGUUUGUUUGUUUCUUUCUUUCUUUCUUUCUUUCUUUCUUUCUUUCCUUCUCCUCCUCCUCCUGCUCCUCCUGGUCUUCUUCUUCUUCAGUCAGAUCUCAUUAUGUAGCAUGGCUGUCCUAGAACUCAUUAUGUAGACCAGACUGGCCUCGAACUCAUAAAGAUCCACCUGCUUCUACGUCCGAAGUGCUGGGAUUAAAGGCACCGUAAGGACUGGCAACAGUAGUUUCUUGCAUUGAACCCUCAAUGGAUCUCACAGCACUGACCAGUGUCCUGAGAUUAUCUAGGACCUGCAUCUGACUGGUCCCAGGGUAAUGAUCACAGGCUGUGGGAAGCUCUAUCUUAGGCUUUCCACUCUCUCUGACUAGGAACACUGAGGUAAGAGCCUUCUCCUAAAGGAUGUAAAAUUGGGGGAUCAGGAAAGUGAGGAAAACAUUUGGCUGAGCUAAGUAAGCUCUUAAUAGAUCAGGAGCCAGGUAGAAGUGGUGCACGCCACUUCUGGCACUAGGGAGUCAGAGACACGUGGAUCUCUGAGUUCAAGGCCAGCUUGGUGCUCAUAGCCAGUAAACGGUAGUUCCAAGACAAACCAAAAGAAACAAAAAAAAAAAAAAAAAAAAAAAAAGGGAUAGUGAGUCAAAGCUGGCAUCAGGCCAAGAACAAGAGCUACAGUUUGAGGCAGGUCAGAGCUAGAAUCAGAGUUGGGACUAAAUCAAGAACCAGACCUGAAGUUAUUGCCACUGGCUGGAUCAGAUGGAGGCCAAGUCAAGGGGCUGAACCAGACCCAAAGGGAGGAGUAGAGAGGAAGGCAGUCCCACCGCGUUUUAAAACUCCCGAGUGUGUAAGGUGCGGCACUGAGCACAGAGGGAGAAAUGUGGAUGCUCACCUGUUUCCAGGGGAGAGACAGGUUUAUCACGUUCUGGCAAAGGAGCCUGCGUGGAGCUAGGCUUACAGGGUGGUCCAGACUUCAGCUGGCAGAGUUGGCAGGAUGGAACCAAAGUCCCCUUGGCCUACCUGUUCUCAGUCCCCUUCUGUGGUGAGCUACCAGGGAGAAGGCCAUUCGUCCAGGCUGGGGAAUUCAUUGACUCCAGCAGUCUCCAGAGCGAUGGCGCUGCCUCCACACUGCCUUCACUCCAGUACAGAGAAACUCAGAAGUUCAGGUGCGCGCUAGUAGAGAAGCCCCCAUUCCAACCUACUCGGCAGAAGUUGCCUCCAGUUUCGAAGAUCCAAAGAUCUGUGGGAUCAUGAGCUGUUUUUGUGUUUACUAGUGCCUCUGCUCAAUGAUUGAUGAGUGAAAGAGUAAACGAAGGCCUCAGUGAGUGAAACCGUACCCGCUUCUUGUUCAGUCUAUACCUGCCUGAGAACCACGGCCCUGACCCCGGAGCUGUCGCCAAGAAUGUGCUUAGGGGGGUCCUUGGUGGCUCAGCGGGGAGCGGGGUUCGCACAAUGCAGGUGCUGGCUGCUCCCUCCCUUCCGUUGCUUUGAGGC